rfam:Schistosoma mattheei strain Denwood, Zambia genome assembly, scaffold: SMTD_scaffold0011073
GCACUGCUGAGGAGUCCCAUACAAAGACGAAACGGCCGUCCAGUGC